rnacentral:rRNA from 1 species
UGGCGUAAACANAGGGAAGCGAAGCGGUGACGUGGAGCGAAUCCCAAAAAUAACGUCCCAGUUCGGAUUGUAGUCUGCAACCCGACUACAUGAAGCUGGAAUCGCUAGUAAUCGCGGAUCAGAAUGCCGCGGUGAAUACGUUCCCGGGUCUUGUACACACCGCCCGUCACACCAUGGGAGCCGGGAACACCCGAAGUCCGUAGUCUAACCUAUAUGGAGGACGCGGCCGAAGGUGGGUUUGGUAAUUGGGGGUGAAGUCGUAACAAGGUACC